GAAAAACCAUCGUUGUUUUUCAACUACAGAAACUUU
rnacentral:tRNA from 2 species